rnacentral:rRNA from 1 species
GGAUGCUGACGAGCGGCGGACGGGUGAGUAAUGCAUAGGAAUCUGCCCGAUAGUGGGGGAUAACCUGGGGAAACCCAGGCUAAUACCGCAUACGUCCUACGGGAGAAAGGGGGCUCCGGCUCCCGCUAUUGGAUGAGCCUAUGUCGGAUUAGCUAGUUGGUGAGGUAACGGCUCACCAAGGCCACGAUCCGUAGCUGGUCUGAGAGGAUGAUCAGCCACAUCGGGACUGAGACACGGCCCGAACUCCUACGGGAGGCAGCAGUGGGGAAUAUUGGACAAUGGGGGAAACCCUGAUCCAGCCAUGCCGCGUGUGUGAAGAAGGCCCUCGGGUUGUAAAGCACUUUCAGCGAGGAAGAACGCCUAGCGGUUAAUACCCGCUAGGAAAGACAUCACUCGCAGAAGAAGCACCGGCUAACUCCGUGCCAGCAGCCGCGGUAAUACGGAGGGUGCAAGCGUUAAUCGGAAUUACUGGGCGUAAAGCGCGCGUAGGUGGCUUGAUAAGCCGGUUGUGAAAGCCCCGGGCUCAACCUGGGAACGGCAUCCGGAACUGUCAAGCUAGAGUGCAGGAGAGGAAGGUAGAAUUCCCGGUGUAGCGGUGAAA